CUCCAGACUCCUACGGGAGGCAGCAGUGGGGAAUAUUGCACAAUGGGGGAAACCCUGAUGCAGCGACGCCGCGUGAGCGAUGAAGUAUUUCGGUAUGUAAAGCUCUCUCAGCAGGGAAGAAAAUGACGGUACCUGACUAAGAAGCCCCGGCUAACUACGUGCCAGCAGCCGCGGUAAUACGUAGGGGGCAAGCGUUAUCCGGAUUUACUGGGUGUAAAGGGAGCGUAGACGGCUGUGCAAGCCAGAUGUGAAAGCCCGGGGCUCAACCCCGGGACUGCAUUUGGAACUGUGUGGCUGGAGUGUCGGAGAGGCAGGCGGAAUUCCUAGUGUAGUGGUGAAAUGCGUAGAUAUUAGGAGGAACACCAGUGGCGAAGGCGGCCUGCUGGACGAUGACUGACGUUGAGGCUCGAAAGCGUGGGGAGCAAACAGGAUUAGAUACCCGGGUAGAA
rnacentral:rRNA from 1 species